rnacentral:lncRNA from 1 species
UAACAUUAAGUUAGGUAGAAUAAUUUAGAUCAUACAAUUUGUUUUCGUCAAAUGGAAAUUAGAAAUAGUACAAUAAGAAUAAAUAAUAGUCUGUGUAAAAAUGAUUAUAUGGACUCAUAGAUCCUUUAUAAUAGUUGUUCGAUAUCGUACACUUACGACAGAAAACAAAAGCAACACUUAUGAAGCAUCUAACUUUGACAUUUCACAAUAGAGAGAUUUAGCUUUAUUAAAGUAUUGACUUGCGGUGAAUUCUCCUUGAGUGAUCGAGAGAAGCUCGUUUUCCAGAAGCUGCAGCCUCAAGUUAUUUUUCUUUGAGAAUAGUGAGGCCAAAGUGUCCCAUGCAUCCUUUGGUGUAGUCUUAUCUCUUAUGUGCUCCAACAAUUAUUCUUCGAUUGUUGUCUUUAUAACAAACAAAGCCUUACCUGCUUUGAUUCUCCAUUUCUUUAGAGCUCCGGGCUCCUCUGGUGGCGUUACUUCACUUCCGCUAACUACCUCAACUGGUCUUGCCCUUGGAGAUACGACUCUAUGCAAGUUUGCCAUGUGGUAUAAUUCUAAUUAUUGAGCUUCUUUACUCUGCCUACUGCUUGUAGGUCACUCAUCAUGACUUGAUUUACCUCAUCGUAAUCAAGCAAGCUUUACAAAAGCUUCACAAACUCCUUUUGUUCACGAACUCAAAAAGCUCAAAAAAUCCUUCCCCGACCGCCUUGCUCUGAUACCAAUUUGUAGAGUUUAAAUAGUAAAAGAAAAUAAUUUUUAUUGAUAAGAUAAAUUUUUACACAAUUUUUGAUACACAGUGAGAUCACUAUCCUCACUUAUAUUAUUUAGAAAUGGAGCACUAACAAUAUUUUCUCUCUUUCACUGACUACACUCUUUUCA